rnacentral:lncRNA from 1 species
UCUUUGUUGGCUGUGGGAUCUUCUGGAAACAAAGCACAGAGCAAGGCUGAAGGAGCAAGACCUCCACAGUGCAGCUAAACAGCCAAAUGAGUCUCCCGCAAGUCAGGAAAACUGGAUAAAAAGAGGCCUAAAUGUGAGCAAGAGCUAUCAUGUUUGGCUUCAAGUAUUGUCUACUAUGUGCCGAGGAUAUAGAGGAACAAAACAGACCCGUCUCAUUCUCGUGGUGGAGUUGGGAUGAUGGAGCUAAUACAAUGACCCCUACCUUCAAAAACUCAGUGCUGCUCCCCUGGAUAGAGGUGAGGAAAAUGAGGCAGAGAAUGAAACAUUUCCAUCUGGAUGACCAAACCGUCAGCUCCUAAAGGGCCGCAGAGGCUGAGGGCGCUGCUGGCAGCCGGCCCUCUGUGGACAUUUGCUGAAUAAACAGAAGAUAUGUGCACCAGUGUUCGCUCCUUUGGGUGAUACCAUCCCAUUUUUAUUUUCUGGAUUUCCUUCCUGAUGGGUCCAUUGUUCCUCAUUUUCCUCUAGCAUUAAAUUCCUUUAUCUUUUCAUUCCCACACAGUCGCUGCCUGUGGUUGAAAAUUGAGUCACCUCUCAGGCCCCAGUGACUUUCCUGGAGAAGUCCAGGAAGCAGGCCUGCUGCAAGAUCCGGGCAAAUUCCUGGAAUCCAUUCCCCGAGGUCAGCAUAUGAGCUCAAACCUGGGACUGACCGGGGCAGACAUAAGAAGGAACACUUCCCCCACACCCCACGAGGAUUUGCACUCGAGUGUUCCAAACCAUCCUGGGGCGAACGGGACACAGUGGGGAACAACUGGUCAUAUCUUUAUGCCAGCGUUUGCCAGAGCCUGCGCCCAGAGAACCAGCUCCACAGAUCUAUGCCAAAAGGCUCUAUGCCAAUUAAGUUUGUGAAGCAUCAUAUAUUAUAUUCUCUGGGGAUUGGCCGGGCUUGGGGGCUCAUGCCUGUAA